rnacentral:rRNA from 1 species
CCUACGGGAGGCAGCAGUCGGGAAUAUUGCGCAAUGGAGGAAACUCUGACGCAGUGACGCCGCGUGCAGGAAGAAGGUUUUCGGAUUGUAAACUGCUUUAGACAGGGAAGAAACAAGACAGUAGCGGUAAAAUAAGCUUCGGCUAACUACGUGCCAGCAGCCGCUGUAAUACGGAGGGAGCGAGCGUUAUCCGGAUUUAUUGGGUGUAAAGGGUGCGUGGACGGGAAGGUAAGUUGGUUGUGAAAUCCGUCGGCUUAACUGAGGAACUGCAACCAAAACUCACUUUCUUGAGUGCUGGAGAGGAAGGUGGAAUUCGUGGUGUAGCGGUGAAAUGCGUAGAUAUUAGGAAGAACACCGAUGGCGAAGGCAGCUUACUGGACAGUAACUGACGUUGAGGCACGAAAGUGUGGGGAGCAAACAGGAUUAGAUACCCGGGUAGUC